rnacentral:rRNA from 1 species
UACGGGGGGGGCAAGCGUUGUUCGGAAUUACUGGGCGUAAAGCGCACGUAGGCGGCUCUUUAAGUCGGGGGUGAAAUCCUGGAGCUCAACUCCAGAACUGCCUUCGAUACUGUAGAGCUUGAGUUCGGGAGAGGUGAGUGGAACUGCGAGUGUAGAGGUGAAAUUCGUAGAUAUUCGCAAGAACACCAGUGGCGAAGGCGGCUCACUGGCCCGAUACUGACGCUGAGGUGCGAAAGCGUGGGGAGCAAACAGGG